AAGAAAAGGAAGGAAGGAAGGAAACAAGGAAGGAAGGAAAGAAGGAAGGAAGGAGCAGGAAUGAAGGAAAGGAGGGAGGGAACAAGGAAGGAAAGAAGGAAGAAAGGAGAAGAAUGAGGAGGAAGGAAAAAGAAGAAGAAUUAAAAUACAGAUUUUAAUAACUAAAGUUGAUUAAUUAAUUUUUUUAGAAUUCUAAUGAAGAAACUGCUGAAUUCAUGAAACUACUCAUCAAGAUCAAGCAGAACAAAAAUUACAUGACAUUAAGUAACUGCUGAAGAUAAUGUUUUUAUGACUUUAAUUUGAAAGAUUUUUGACUCCUAAGUGUUUUGUUUUCCAAAUUUAAGAAUACAAUUGGAAGCAUUGGCUAUAUUACCAAGGCAUUGACUGGAAUAUCAUAUUUGAGAACGUGCAUAGAAUGCCUGGUUUCAAGGGUUUCCAGCCUUAUAGUGACUUCCUCUGGGAAUCUUCUUCCUCUCCCUGUAGUAUAUGAUGUCUAAAAAUCCUCCCUGGCUUGUUGGGAACAAACUUCCCAUACACCAGAGUGACAUAUGCCCUGAGACUCUACACGAUGGCUGAAGAGACACCUAACUCACAGGACUAAGGAAAAUACUCAGUUCCAGUUAUAACCAGCUACCAGACAGCGUUUUUAACCAGCUAAGGGAGGUGGGGUGUGCAGAAUUCCCUGCUGAGAAGAUGCCAUAAUCUCUACUCUUCCUAUAGACAUGGAUCCUUCUUUCAGGUUCUAUUAUCUCUGUGGGCCUGUCCUGUUUAUUUUUUAAAGUUGUAUUGUUUUAUAUAAAAGAUACUUAAUAAAAUACUUAGGG
rnacentral:lncRNA from 10 species